GGGGUCCCACCUCUUCCCAUUCCGAACAGAGAAGUUAAGCCCGCCUGCGCCGAUGGUACUGCAAUGCAAUGCGGGAGAGUAGGAGGCCGCCCCCU
rnacentral:rRNA from 1 species